rnacentral:rRNA from 1 species
CCGCCGCGCGCGGCCUACGGGAGGCAGCAGUGGGGAAUAUUGCACAAUGGGCGCAAGCCUGAUGCAGCCAUGCCGCGUGUAUGAAGAAGGCCUUCGGGUGUAAAGUACUUUCAGCGAGGAGGAAGGCGUUAAGGUUAAUAACCUUGGUGAUUGACGUUACUCGCAGAAGAAGCACCGGCUAACUCCGUGCCAGCAGCCGCGGUAAUA